UACGUAGGGUGCAAGCGUUGUCCGGAAUUAUUGGGCGUAAAGAGCUCGUAGGCGGUCUGUCGCGUCGGCUGUGAAAACCCGAGGCUCAACCUCGGGCCUGCAGUCGAUACGGGCAAACUAGAGUACUGCAGGGGAGACUGGAAUUCCUGGUGUAGCGGUGAAAUGCGCAGAUAUCAGGAGGAACACCGGUGGCGAAGGCGGGUCUCUGGGCAGUAACUGACGCUGAGGAGCGAAGGCGUGGGGAGCGAACAGG
rnacentral:rRNA from 1 species